rnacentral:rRNA from 1 species
GAUGAACGCUAGCGGCAGGCUUAACACAUGCAAGUCGAGGGGCAGCACGUCUUCGGAUGGUGGCGACCGGCGCACGGGUGAGUAACGCGUAUGCAAUCUACCUUUUACAGGGGCAUAGCCCGGGGAAACCCGGAUUAAUAUCCUAUAGUACCAUUAUAUAGCAUUAUAUUAUGGUUAAAGUUUCGGCGGUAAAAGAUGAGCAUGCGUCCUAUUAGCUUGAUGGUAAGGUAACGGCUUACCAUGGCUAUGAUAGGUAGGGGUCCUGAGAGGGAGACCCCCCACACUGGUACUGAGACACGGACCAGACUCCUACGGGAGGCAGCAGUGAGGAAUAUUGGACAAUGGGCGCAAGCCUGAUCCAGCCAUGCCGCGUGCAGGAAGACGGCCCUAUGGGUUGUAAACUGCUUUUAUACGGGAAGAAACACCCCUUCGUGAAGGGACUUGACGGUACCGUAUGAAUAAGGAUCGGCUAACUCCGUGCUAGCAGCCGCGGUAAUACGGAGGAUCC